rfam:Serinicoccus sp. CNJ-927 NODE_18_length_60340_cov_236.338_ID_193, whole genome shotgun sequence.
CCGGGUCAGUCCUUUACGACGGAUCGUCCGGCACGUACCUGCCGGUGAAGGAGAAGCAACA